CACGUAAUCUUCUUCCCCUACAGAAGUGAAUAUUCGCGAACUGUUUUGCCUUGUCCGAAAUUUCUUCCGAAGCAAGUCGUUUUCGUUUGCUCUUCCUCGCCAAAAUCGAGCGGCAUGGUGAAGAUCGACGAACCGAGCGGCGCCGAGGGCGGCGAGACCGACGGCGUCCGUGCUGUGCAUCGCGGGCCGGGCUUCGAUGGGAAGCGCAUUUUGGUGGGCGCGGGCGCGAGGAUCUUGUUUUACCCCACUCUCCUGUACAAUGUGCUGCGGAACAGGCUCCAACCCGAGUUCCGUUGGUGGGAUGAAGUCGACGAGUUUAUUUUGUUAGGCGCAGUUCCAUUCCGCAAGGAUGUUGGGCGGUUGAAGCGGCUUGGUGUCCAUGGUGUCAUCACUCUCAAUGAACCUUACGAAACCUUGGUUCCGUCGUCGCUUUAUCGUGAUUAUAAAAUUGAUCACUUGGUGAUACCUACAAGAGACUAUCUUUAUGCUCCUCCUCUUGCUGAUAUUGACCGGGCGGUGGCCUUUAUUUAUAGAAACGCAUCUUGUGGCCGAAAAACUUAUGUCCACUGCAAAGCUGGGAGAGGAAGGAGCACAACAGUUGUGCUCUGCUAUUUGGUGAAGCAUAAGCAAAUGACUCCUAGUGCCGCCCUGGAAUUUGUGCGUUCCAGAAGGCCCAGAGUGCUUCUGACUUCCUCUCAGUGGAAGGUGAGAAGUACUGCUUAUUCUUCUUCUUGUAAAGCCUAUCAUUACAAUCUUCAUCAAGUAAUGAAGUUGCAUCAUAUUGAAGGAAUUAUUGGACAAGCUACGUUUUUGUUGCUUCAAUUUUAGGGUUACUUUUGCUGUGGUCACUAUGCUCUUCAGUGGUUUCAAUCAACUCACUUAGUCAAGCAUUCUUUAAAUGAGUAAAAGAAUGCUGAUGCGUCGUACGCUGCUACACUAUCAUUCAUUGAUAAUUGCCGCAAAAAUGUUUUCGUUUCUUUAGCUAAGUUGAUGCAGUCUCCUGACCUGAAACUGCUUCAAAAGUAUGGUGACCAGGUGGAAGGUCGACCUAUUACAGAGUAGUCUUACGCUUAAAUGAUUAACUUCGUAAUUUUAGCAAGCUUUAUGUCGGUAAUAUUCUAUUAAUUUUACAUGACUCUUUCCUGCAUGAUGCUACUCACAUCAGGGUCAAAGGCUAGAUCAGUUGCUUCUGCUUGAAUAAGAAUUUGGAGCAAAAUUUUUUUGCACGAGUCUUGCUUUCCACCAUUAUAGCGGCAGUUCAAGAGUACAGCAAGCAAAGGCCAGCCACUGCAGUUGGCCGUUCCCCUGAAGAUGCAGUUACCACUACAGAUGCCGAUAGGGAAGGGUAUUGUGGGAUUUCUGAUGGUCAUUCUGGCAGGCCAAAG